CACUGAAUUUUUAAAGAGCCGCAGUAUUUUGACUGUGCAAAGGUAGCAUAAUCAUUAGUAUAUUAAUUGUAUACUGGAAUGAAAGGUUUGACGAGAAAUAUACUGUCUCUUUUUAAUUUAUAGAAUUUUACUUUUUAGUUAAAAGGCUAAAAUUUUUUUUUUGGACGAUAAGACCCUAUAGAAUUUAAUUUAUUAUUUAUUAUUAAUUUGGGCUAUUUUAUAUUUUUAUGUUAUAAUUAAAUUUAGUUGGGGCGAUUUGAAUAAUUAAUAAACUGUUCAUUUAUUUUUUCAUUGAUUAAUGUUUUUUUUGAUCCUUUAUUAUAGAUUAUAAGAUUAAAUUACCUUAGGGAUAACAGCGCAAUCAUCUUUGAGAGUUCUUAUUGACAGGAUGGAUUGUGACCUCGAUGUUGGAUUAAGAUUAUUAAUUAGGUGAAGAUGCUUAAAUUAUUGGUCUGUUCGACCAUU
rnacentral:rRNA from 1 species